rnacentral:rRNA from 1 species
AUGGUGCUCGCGCUCUCCACACCCACGUUCGUGCCCUCCACGCCUCCCGCGGCUCGACCACGUUCCGCCCCCACGGGGCCCACCACCUUCUCCUCCCCCACGCCGCCCGCCUCCUCGCCCACCGCGCGCCGCCCCUACCCCGCACCGCCGCCUCCGCUCGCUCCGGAUGUCGGCCUCCAACCACUCCGGUGCCGGCGCCUGCUCCCCCUCCGCCCCCUCGCCGCCCCCGGCCCUCGCGGUGAGUCUGAUGCGUCCUCCUCCUCCUCACGCGUCGCCACUGCCACACCAGCCGCCGCCGCCGCCGCAGCCCCGUCCACAUCAUCCUUGUCCUUCCCCGUCCCUGCUGUCGAUGGCGAGGAUGAUGACGAGGACGUCGACGAGGUCAACGGCUUCGACGCACUGAGCGAGUACGACGCCGGCGUGACGGAGAUCGACGAGGAGGACGAAAAGGCCCUCACUGCAUUCAUGUCCAAGGAAACCUCCUCCAAACGAUCUCUUGGUGAUAUCAUCCUCCAGAAGAUCAGAGAGAAGGACGCCACUAUCUCAACAUGUAAGCAUCCAUUCUCGACGCUGAUGCUUCUUAUUUAUUGA